rnacentral:rRNA from 1 species
UUAAGCGACUAAGCGUACACGGUGGAUGCCCUGGCAGUCAGAGGCGAUGAAGGACGUGCUAAUCUGCGAAAAGCGCCGGCGAGGUGAUAUGAACCUUUGACCCGGCGAUGUCCGAAUGGGGAAACCCAGUGUGUUCCGACACACUAUCGUUAACUGAAUACAUAGGUUAACGAGGCGAACCGGGGGAACUGAAACAUCUAAGUACCCCGAGGAAAAGAAAUCAACCGAGAUUCCCCCAGUAGCGGCGAGCGAACGGGGAGCAGCCCAGAGUCUGAAUCAGCUUGUGUGUUAGUGGAACGGUCUGGAAAGUCCGACGGUACAGGGUGAUAGUCCCGUACACGAAAAUGCACAGGUUGUGAACUCGAAGAGUAGGGCGGGACACGUGGUAUCCUGUCUGAAUAUGGGGGGACCAUCCUCCAAGGCUAAAUACUCCUGACUGACCGAUAGUGAACCAGUACCGUGAGGGAAAGGCGAAAAGAACCCCGGCGAGGGGAGUGAAAAAGAACCUGAAACCGUGUACGUACAAGCAGUGGGAGCACCUUCGUGGUGUGACUGCGUACCUUUUGUAUAAUGGGUCAGCGACUUAUAUUCUGUAGCAAGGUUAACCGUAUAGGGGAGCCGAAGGGAAACCGAGUCUUAACUGGGCGUUAAGUUGCAGGGUAUAGACCCGAAACCCGGUGAUCUAGCCAUGGGCAGGUUGAAGGUUGGGUAACACUAACUGGAGGACCGAACCGACUAAUGUUGAAAAAUUAGCGGAUGACUUGUGGCUGGGGGUGAAAGGCCAAUCAAACCGGGAGAUAGCUGGUUCUCCCCGAAAGCUAUUUAGGUAGCGCCUCGUGAACUCAUCUUCGGGGGUAGAGCACUGUUUCGGCUAGGGGGCCAUCCCGGCUUACCAACCCGAUGCAAACUACGAAUACCGAAGAAUGUUAUCACGGGAGACACACGGCGGGUGCUAACGUCCGUCGUGAAGAGGGAAACAACCCAGACCGCCAGCUAAGGUCCCAAAGUCAUGGUUAAGUGGGAAACGAUGUGGGAAGGCCCAGACAGCCAGGAUGUUGGCUUAGAAGCAGCCAUCAUUUAAAGAAAGCGUAAUAGCUCACUGGUCGAGUCGGCCUGCGCGGAAGAUGUAACGGGGCUAAACCAUGCACCGAAGCUGCGGCAGCGACACUAUGUGUUGUUGGGUAGGGGAGCGUUCUGUAAGCCGUUGAAGGUGGCCUGUGAGGGUUGCUGGAGGUAUCAGAAGUGCGAAUGCUGACAUAAGUAACGAUAAAGCGGGUGAAAAGCCCGCUCGCCGGAAGACCAAGGGUUCCUGUCCAACGUUAAUCGGGGCAGGGUGAGUCGACCCCUAAGGCGAGGCCGAAAGGCGUAGUCGAUGGGAAACAGGUUAAUAUUCCUGUACUUGGUGUUACUGCGAAGGGGGGACGGAGAAGGCUAUGUUAGCCGGGCGACGGUUGUCCCGGUUUAAGCAUGUAGGCGGAACGAUUAGGUAAAUCCGGUCGUUUUUUAACGCUGAGGUGUGAUGACGAGGCACUACGGUGCUGAAGUAACAAAUGCCCUGCUUCCAGGAAAAGCCUCUAAGCAUCAGGUAACAUCAAAUCGUACCCCAAACCGACACAGGUGGUCAGGUAGAGAAUACCAAGGCGCUUGAGAGAACUCGGGUGAAGGAACUAGGCAAAAUGGUGCCGUAACUUCGGGAGAAGGCACGCUGAUAUGUAGGUGAAGCCCCUGCGGGUGGAGCUGAAAUCAGUCGAAGAUACCAGCUGGCUGCAACUGUUUAUUAAAAACACAGCACUGUGCAAACACGAAAGUGGACGUAUACGGUGUGACGCCUGCCCGGUGCCGGAAGGUUAAUUGAUGGGGUUAGCGGUAACGCGAAGCUCUUGAUCGAAGCCCCGGUAAACGGCGGCCGUAACUAUAACGGUCCUAAGGUAGCGAAAUUCCUUGUCGGGUAAGUUCCGACCUGCACGAAUGGCGUAAUGAUGGCCAGGCUGUCUCCACCCGAGACUCAGUGAAAUUGAACUCGCUGUGAAGAUGCAGUGUACCCGCGGCAAGACGGAAAGACCCCGUGAACCUUUACUAUAGCUUGACACUGAACACUGGUCCUUGAUGUGUAGGAUAGGUGGGAGGCUUUGAAGUGUGGACGCCAGUCUGCAUGGAGCCGUCCUUGAAAUACCACCCUUUAAUGGCUGGUGUUCUAACGUAGACCCGUAAUCCGGGUUGCGGACAGUGUCUGGUGGGUAGUUUGACUGGGGCGGUCUCCUCCCAAAGAGUAACGGAGGAGCACGAAGGUUAGCUAAUCCUGGUCGGACAUCAGGAGGUUAGUGCAAUGGCAUAAGCUAGCUUGACUGCGAGAGUGACGGCUCGAGCAGGUGCGAAAGCAGGUCAUAGUGAUCCGGUGGUUCUGAAUGGAAGGGCCAUCGCUCAACGGAUAAAAGGUACUCCGGGGAUAACAGGCUGAUACCGCCCAAGAGUUCAUAUCGACGGCGGUGUUUGGCACCUCGAUGUCGGCUCAUCACAUCCUGGGGCUGAAGUAGGUCCCAAGGGUAUGGCUGUUCGCCAUUUAAAGUGGUACGCGAGCUGGGUUUAGAACGUCGUGAGACAGUUCGGUCCCUAUCUGCCGUGGGCGCUGGAGAAUUGAGGGGGGCUGCUCCUAGUACGAGAGGACCGGAGUGGACGCAUCACUGGUGUUCGGGUUGUCAUGCCAAUGGCACUGCCCGGUAGCUAAAUGCGGAAGAGAUAAGUGCUGAAAGCAUCUAAGCACGAAACUUGCCCCGAGAUGAGUUCUCCCUGAGCCUUUAAGGCUCCUGAAGGAACGUUGAAGACGACGACGUUGAUAGGUCGGGUGUGUAAGCGCAGCGAUGCGUUGAGCUAACCGAUACUAAUGAACCGUGAGGCUUAACCUU